CUGGUUAGCUCAGUUGGUACAGCUCUCAACUGGAAGUGGAGAGGACCCAGGUUCGAUACCCGGACCAG
rnacentral:tRNA from 1 species